GGCCUCGUAGCUCAACUGGAUAGAGUGUCGGUUUCCGGAACCGAAGGUUAUGGGUUCGACUCCCUUCGAGGUCACCA
rnacentral:tRNA from 1 species